rnacentral:tRNA from 1 species
GGAAGGGUGGCCGAGUGGUUUNNNGGUUUAAGGCACCGGUCUUGAAAACCGGCGUGGGUGCAAGCCCACCGUGGGUUCGAAUCCCACCCCUUCCGCCA